UAUACGACCGUACCGCAAACCGACACUGGUGCGCGAGAUGAGUAUUCUAAGGCGCUUGAGAGAACUCAGGAGAAGGAACUCGGCAAAUUGACACCGUAACUUCGGAAGAAGGUGUGCCCUAUUAGUGUGUAGUGAACAACGAAGCAUGAAUGGGUUGCAAAAAAUCGGUGGCUGCGACUGUUUAUUAAAAACACAGCACUCUGCAAACACGAAAGUGGACGUAUAGGGUGUGACGCCUGCCCGGUGCUGGAAGAUUAAAUGAUGGGGUGCAAGCUCUUGAUUGAAGUCCCAGUAAACGGCGGCCGUAACUAUAACGGUCCUAAGGUAGCGAAAUUCCUUGUCGGGUAAGUUCCGACCUGCACGAAUGGCGUAACGAUGGCCACACUGUCUCCUCCUGAGACUCAGCGAAGUUGAAAUGUUUGUGAUGAUGCAAUCUCCCCGCGGAAAGACGGAAAGACCCCAUGAACCUUUACUGUAGCUUUGUAUUGGACUUUGAACAGAUCUGUGUAGGAUAGGUGGGAGGCUUUGAAGCAGGGUCGCUAGAUCUUGUGGAGCCAACGUUGAAAUACCACCCUGGUGUGUUUGAGGUUCUAACCUAGGUCCAUUAUCUGGAUCGGGGACAGUGCAUGGUAGGCAGUUUGACUGGGGCGGUCUCCUCCCAAAGCGUAACGGAGGAGUUCGAAGGUACGCUAGUUACGGUCGGACAUCGUGACGAUAGUGCAAUGGCAUAAGCGUGCUUAACUGCGAGACUGACAAGUCGAGCAGAUGCGAAAGCAGGACAUAGUGAUCCGGUGGUUCUGUAUGGAAGGGCCAUCGCUCAACGGAUAAAAGGUACUCUGGGGAUAACAGGCUGAUACCGCCCAAGAGUUCAUAUCGACGGCGGUGUUUGGCACCUCGAUGUCGGCUCAUCUCAUCCUGGGGCUGUAGCCGGUCCCAAGGGUAUGGCUGUUCGCCAUUUAAAGAGGUACGUGAGCUGGGUUUAAAACGUCGUGAGACAGUUUGGUCCCUAUCUUCCGUGGGCGCUGCAGAUUUGAGGAAGCCUGCUCCUAGUACGAGAGGACCGGAGUGGACACACCUCUGGUGUAUCGGUUGUCACGCCAGUGGCAUUGCCGAGUAGCUAAGUGUGGAAGAGAUAACCGCUGAAAGCAUCUAAGCGGGAAACUCGUUUCAAGAUGAGAUCUGCCGGGGCCUUGAGCCCCCUAAAGAGUCGUUCAAGACCAGGACGUUGAUAGGUCAGGUGUGGAAACAA
rnacentral:rRNA from 1 species